AGCGGCGGACGGGUGAGUAACACGUGGGUAACCUGCCCAAGAGACUGGGAUAACACCUGGAAACAGAUGCUAGUACCGGAUAACAACACUAGACGCAUGUCUAGAGCUUGAAAGAUGGUUCUGCUAUCACUCUUGGAUGGACCUGCGGUGCAUUAGCUAGUUGGUAGGGUAACGGCUUACCAAGGCAAUGAUGCAUAGCCGAGUUGAGAGACUGAUCGGCACAUUGGGACUGAGACACGGCCCAAACUCCUACGGGAGGCAGCAGUAGGGAAUCUUCCACAAUGGACGAAAGUCUGAUGGAGCAACGCCGCGUGAGUGAAGAAGGGUUUCGGCUCGUAAAGCUCUGUUGGUAGUGAAGAAAGAUAGAGGUAGUAACUGGCCUUUAUUUGACGGUAAUUACUUAGAAAGUCACGGCUAACUACGUGCCAGCAGCCGCGGUAAUACGUAGGUGGCAAGCGUUGUCCGGAUUUAUUGGGCGUAAAGCGAGUGCAGGCGGUUCAAUAAGUCUGAUGUGAAAGCCUUCGGCUCAACCGGAGAAUUGCAUCAGAAACUGUUGAACUUGAGUGCAGAAGAGGAGAGUGGAACUCCAUGUGUAGCGGUGGAAUGCGUAGAUAUAUGGAAGAACACCAGUGGCGAAGGCGGCUCUCUGGUCUGCAACUGACGCUGAGGCUCGAGAGCAUGGGUAGCGAACAGGAUUAGAUACCCUGGUAGUCCAUGCCGUAAACGAUGAGUGCUAAGUGU
rnacentral:rRNA from 1 species